AUUGAACGCUGGCGGCAGGCCUAACACAUGCAAGUCGAACGAGUGGCGGACGGGUGAGUAAUGUCUGGGAAACUGCCCGAUGGAGGGGGAUAACUACGGGAAACGGUAGCUAAUACCGCAUACCAUCGGAUGUGCCCAGAUGGGAUUAGCUAGUAGGUGGGGUAACGGCUCACCUAGGCGACGAUCCCUAGCUGGUCUGCGAGGAUGAACAGCCACACUGGGACUGAGACACGGUCCAGACUCCUACGGGAGGCAGCGGUGGGGAAUAUGGGACAAUGGGCGCAAGCCUGAUGCAGCCAUGCCGCGUGUAUGAAGAAGGCCUUCGGGUUGUAAAGUACUUUUGGCGGGGAGGCGUUACUCGCAGAAGAAGCACCGGCUAACUCCGUGCCAGCAGCCGCGGUAAUUC
rnacentral:rRNA from 1 species